CGAUAAUUAAAUUCAUUGAAUUUAACAUUGAGUGGAUAUGGGGUGGUACUGUGAAUUUUUUGAACAUAGUACGGCCCAUGUCGGCUCACUGAUAAAUUCCAUUUCAACAAUAACACAG
rnacentral:precursor_RNA from 15 species